rnacentral:rRNA from 1 species
CAGUCGAGCGCCCUGCUUGCGGGAGCGGCAGACGGGUGAGUAAUGCGUGGGAAUCUACCCAGCUCUACGGAAUAACUCAGGGAAACUUGAACUAAUACCGUAUGCGCCCUUCGGGGGAAAGAUUUAUCGGAUUUGGAUGACCCCAUGUCUGAUUAUCUAGUUGGUGGGGUAAAGGCCUACCAGGGCCACGAUCAAUAUCUGGUCUGAGAGGAUGAUCACCCACACUGGGACUGAGACACGGCCCACACUCCUAGGGGAGGCAGCAGUGGGGAAUAUUGGACAAUGGGCGCAAGCCUGAUCCAGCCGUGCCGCGUGAGUGAUGAAGGCCCUAGGGUUGUAAAGCUCUUUCACCGGUGAAGAUUAUGACUGUCACCGGAAAAGAACCCCCGGCUAACUUCGUGCCAGCAGCCGCGGUAAUACAAAGGGGGCUAGCGUUGUUCGGAAUUACUGGGCGUAAAGCGCGCGUAGGCAGAUCGGUCAUUUAGGGGUGAAAUCCGGGGGCUCAACCCCGGAACUGCCUCUAAUAGUGCGUAUCUAGAUUUCGAGAGAGGUGAGUGGAUUUCCGAGUGUAGAGGUGAAAUUCGUAGAUAUUCAGAAGAACACCAGUGGCGAACGCGGCUCAGUGGCUCGAUACUGACGCUGAUGUGCGA